rnacentral:rRNA from 1 species
AUGGAGCAGAGCAAGCCGUCCGUCUUCCUCGGCCUCCUCGUGCUCCUGGCCUGCGCCGGGUCGGGGCACGGCAUGCGCCUCCUCCACGACAUCGACGACAACGUCGGCGACGAGGAGUACGCCCGGGAGUUCGCGUUCGGCUCCAUGGCGGCCGCGGAGACCGAGACCGCGCCGCAGGGCGCGUCCUUGGACGACUACGAGGACGAGAUCAGCCGGGUGGAGUUCGAGCCGGGGCGCGGCGCGUCCUACGACGCCACGGUCGCCGCAGCCGCGCCCGGGCCUGCCCCGGGGCCAGCGACGGCGGGGAGCGACGCGGCCGCCGCAAGGACAGGCGCCAGCAGCAUGAAGUGGUGGCUGCCGCCGUCCACGAUGCCGUCCUUCCCGCUGUUCCCGAACCCCGGCGGCAUGCCCGGGAUGCCGAUUCCUGCCAUGCCCGUGCCUUUGCCCGCCCUCCCCGGGAUGCCCGCCAUGCCCAUGCCGGGGGGCAUGCCACUCCCUAUGCCAGGAGGCAUCCCGGGCGGCGGCAUGCCUAUGCCUAUGCCAGGAGGCAUCCCAGGGGGCGGCAUGCCGUUCAACUUCAAGCCGGAGGGAUGGGGCGGGGGCGCCGGCGCGGUGCCAUCGCCGCCCAGCCGUGCGCAGCCGACGCCUCCUGCCGCCAGCGCGAGCGACGGCGCCACCGACAGCAGCGGCGACAACCCCAACCCCAACGGGGCCAUCCACUGA